AUUCCAGCUCCAAUAGCGUAUAUUAAAGUUGUUGCAGUUAAAAAGCUCGUAGUUGAACUUCUGGCGGAUGUUUUCGCUGGCUUCGGUCGCGUUAAUGUCUGUCAUCCGCUAGGGAACCUCGUUCGGUCUUCAUUGGUCGGCGGGAGGAUCUGGCAUUUUACUUUGAAAAAAUUAGAGUGUUCAAGGCAGGCAAUCGCCAUGAAUACACAAGCAUGGAAUAAUGGAAUAGGACUUAUGGUCAUUUUAUUGGUUAUUGACUGUAAGUAAUGAUUAAUAGGGACAGUUGGGGGCAUUAGUAUUUAAUUGUCAGAGGUGAAAUUCUUGGAUUUAUUAAAGACUAACUUAUGCGAAAGCAUUUGCCAAGGAUGUUUUCAUCA
rnacentral:rRNA from 1 species